rnacentral:rRNA from 1 species
CUACGGGGGGCAGCAGUGGGGAAUAUUGCACAAUGGGCGCAAGCCUGAUGCAGCCAUGCCGCGUGUAUGAAGAAGGCCUUCGGGUUGUAAAGUACUUUCAGCGGGGAGGAAGGGAGUAAAGUUAAUACCUUUGCUCAUUGACGUUACCCGCAGAAGAAGCACCGGCUAACUCCGUGCCAGCAGCCGCGGUAAUACGGAGGGUGCAAGCGUUAAUCGGAAUUACUGGGCGUAAAGCGCACGCAGGCGGUUUGUUAAGUCAGAUGUGAAAUCCCCGGGCUCAACCUGGGAACUGCAUCUGAUACUGGCAAGCUUGAGUCUCGUAGAGGGGGGUAGAAUUCCAGGUGUAGCGGUGAAAUGCGUAGAGAUCUGGAGGAAUACCGGUGGCGAAGGCGGCCCCCUGGACGAAGGCUUACGCUCAAGUGCGAAAGCGUGGGGAGCAACCAGGAUUAGAUACCCCGGUAGUC